CCUACGGGUGGCAGCAGUCGAGAAUCAUUCACAAUGGGGGAAACCCUGAUGGUGCGACGCCGCGUGGGUGAAUGAAGGUUUUCGGACUUUAAACCCUUUUCAUGUGGGAGCAAAUUAAAAAGAUAGUACCACAAGAGGAAGAUACGGCUAACUCUGUGCCAGCAGCCGCGGUAAUACAGAGCUCUCAAGCGUUGUUCGGAUUCACUGGGCGUAAAGCGUGCGUAGGCUGUUUCGUAAGUCGGGUGUGAAAGGCUCGGGCUCAACCCGGGAACGGCACCUGAUACUGUGAAACUAGAGUGAUGGAGGGGGAACCGGAAUUCCCGGUGUAGCAGUGAAAUGCGUAGAUAUCGGGAGGAACACUAGUGGCGAAGGCGGGUUCCUGGACAGUAACUGACGCUGAGGCACGAAGGCCAGGGGAGCGAAAGGGAUUAGAUACCCGAGUAGUC
rnacentral:rRNA from 1 species